UUUAAAGACUUGAAACUAGCAAAAUGCAUGCUGGCACAGUGGUAGAAAAGCUGAUGGGAAGAGCUGGUACCUGACGCAAGGUAUUUGGUUGUUCAGUAAAGCAGGGAACGCAGCGCAAUCUAGGUGGCUGCUCAUUGGGACCUGACCCAGUGCCAUAAGCAUUCAUGUUGGCCUGGAUCUACCAUACAGCUGUUUUUUCUAUAUGCACAGAAGAAUGUUUUUUUUUUAAACUAUGUGUAUAUGUGUUGCAUGCAUGUAUGUGCUUAUAUGUAUCCAGAUGCAUGUGCUUAUGCAUUUAUCAUGUGUGGAGGCCAGAGGUUGGCAUCCAGUGCCAUCUUCUGUUCCUCCUCCCCUCAGGUUUUGAGACAGGGUCUCUCACUGAGCCUGGAGAUUACUUAUUGGCUAGGCUGGCUGGCCAUGGAGGCCCUGGGAUCCUGCUAUCUUCCCCUUCCUGCACUAAGAUUACAGAUGUGUGUCACCUUGCCUGGCUUUUCACAUGGGUGCUGGUGAUCCAAACCCAGGACCUCAUCAUACAGAGCAGCCCCUCCCCAGUCCCUGCUCUUAAACUUUUAAAAGCUUAUUUUGCCAAUACAUACAGGAGGCUUUUACUUUUUCUCUCUCUUUUUUAGUUAUUACAUUUCUGAUCUUAGAUUUUAUUUUCUUAACUACAUUGAUUGCUACAUUGAAUACUUACUUUGAACUAUAUUACAAAGCAUAUAGCAAAGUAAUUUCUAAAGCAAGCUUUGUUACAUUUUUCUUUAUCUCACGUGCACAUAUGUCUGUGGGUGCAUGCAUGCUGGAGUGCAUGAGUGGGACUUAGGAGAGGUUCUCACCUUCCACCAAGUGAGUCUAGGAAUCAAACAGGUUGUUGGAUUUACACACUGAGAUGUCCUGCAAGUUCCCAAGUAGUUUUAAAAAUAAAGGCAAGUGAUCUGAGAGGAAGCUUGAUAGUACAUGGGAUACUACUGAGCCAUACCUCCACCCCUUGAUGCUUUGAGACAAGGUCUCAUUGUAUAGCUUAGGCUGACUUUGAACUUGUUCUGUUAUCCAGGCUGGCCUGAAACUUAUGAUCCUUUUGUUCCUGCUUCAUGAUUAGUAGGAUUACAGAUAUGAGUCACAACACCAAGCAUCAUUAUCUUAAUUUUUAAAAUAUAGUUGUUUUGAGACAGGAUCUUAUGUAAUCCAUGCUGGCCUUGAAUUCAUUUUGUAUUUGAGGAUGGCCUUGAAUUUCUGAUCCUCAUACCUUUCCUUCCCUAGUAUCAGAAUUACAGGUAUGUCACCACGUUCUAGUAUUUUCUGUUGCUGUGAUAAAACACUGACCGAAAACAACUUAGGGGAGGGAAAUAUUUAUUUGGCUCACACUUCCAGGUUACAGUCCGUCAUUGAGGGAGGCCAGGAGAGGAGCUCAUGGCAAGAACUUGAAACAAAAACCAUGAGGAGCAUUGCUUGCUGGCUUGCAUGUUCCCAGGUUUAUGCUUAGUCAACUUAUGGGAUGGCGCCACCCACAGUGGAUAGGCCCUCCUGCAUCAGUUAAUAGUCAAGAUAGUCCCAAGACAUGCCCAUAGGCCAGUACAAGCUGAGAAAUCCCUCAGUUGAGGCUUUUCUUCUCAGAUGACUCUAGGCUUUGUCAAGUUGACAAUUAAGAUUAACCAGGACAUGCCGUACUCCGUCAGCUUGACACACAAACACAUCACUGUGACACCAAACCUUCCCUUUUUUUGUCCCCAAGAUCUUGUUUAACUAAUUUUUCAUUGUUUUAUACUAUGCUAGUUUAUUAUAUAGUUAUUUUUUAAUAUAAUAAACUUACUAUUGAUCAUUUAGUUUAUUGUCAGUAUUAUAAAUUAUAAUAAACACUGCUUUGAUAGACACUUUUGAAUCUAUAGCAUCAAGAAUUUUCCUAAGAUAAUUUCUCCUAAAAAGAACAAUGGUAUUAAAAGUAAAUGUACAUUUUUUUUUCCAACAUGAAGAGAAUAUUUUCUGGUUCCAAGAGAAAAUAUAUUUACCUUUUAAAUGUAAGCUAUAUUAAUAAUUUUUAUAGAAAGUUAAAAUUAAAAUUAGCUUUUUCUCCCUAUCCACUGAGGGAAAACAGCCAUUUCUAUUCUGAUGGUAACUUUUGCAGCUCUCUCCAUGCAUACUGCUCAUAAUGUACAUGUUCUUUUUAAUCUGCUUUCCCUCUAAACUUCAUAUUAUGGUGUUUCCACAUGUUAGCGAAGAAUUAUAUAACUGGAUUUUUAUUUUCUUAUAAUAUAUCAGGUUGUUUUUUUCUUUUUUUUUCUUUUUUUGGUUUUUCAAAACAGAGUUUCUCUGUGUAGCCCUGACUGUCCUAGAACUCACUCUGUAGGCCAGACUGGCCUCAAACUCAUAGAGAUCCGUCUGCCUCUGCCUCCUGAAUGCUGGGAUUAAAGGUGUGCACCACCACCACCUUCCAAUAUAUCAGUUUUUAAUGAAUGGGCAUUUAGAUUAUUUUCCAUUAAGUGGUAGUAGCAUUAAUUUUAUUAUUGUCACACUUAAGCAAAUGUCUGCAUUUGCCUAAUUCGUAGGGUAUAUUCCUAGGUAACAAAUGGUUGGAGUUAAAUCUUUCAUACAUGCCUCACUUAUAGGACCUGAAUUUUCUGUUGGACAUAACUGCCUAUUUUGGGGUCCAUUUUUGUGCCUUCACUUAGAUGUUCUCUUUCUUGGACAGUUGAGUUUUUCUUUCACAUUCAGUAAUUCUGGUGAGCUGCCCUCCCCGUGUUGAUCGAUUGUUAUAUGGUAGAAGUCUCGGGAGAUUUGGAGAAUAUGGUAGUACUGAUGUCCUUGUGGAGGUUUUAGUGCUCAUGAAGCAAAGUCCUGCUUCUCCCCAUGUUGGUGAUCGAGCUGGCAGCUCGUCAGUCAUCCAUACUUCGCUUCUUCAACUGAGGAGUGGUAGAGGCUUAAGUUGGAGGACAGGCUUAUUGAAGAAGGCACGUGAGUUGUUUCAGACUACUAGAUUCAUGACAUUCAGUUAAUAGAAUUAAAUCUAAAAACAGGAUAUUAAUAAAACUAAAGCACAGUGGGGCAUCAACUUGAACGAGUUGGCAAAAGGUCAGUUUGUAUGUACAUUACCUACUUUAGUGUAUAGAAGUUUGAUCUUACACGUUUAGAACUUCCCUGCAAGAUUACAGAAAUAGAAGCAAAAUUGUGGAAAGUAGAUGUGCCGAUUAAAGCAUGUGUUUGGGUUUGCUUAGAAGACAUUAUUCACAGUUCAGUUGUCCAUUUUUAGAUUAUUCAGGGUUUUUGCUACUAAUUUUUCUCCCUCUGCACUUACUUACAAUAAAGAAUGAGCUAGAUUCAAAUUAACAUCAAAUUUUUAAAAAAUUAUUGUAGUUUUCCCUUAACCUAUGACAUUGGGAGGUGUGGCUUUGAGACAGGCUUUCACUCUGUAGUCCAGACUUGCCAAGGCUGGCCUCGAACACCUGAUCCUCCUUUCACCAUCCCAUGUACUGACGGAAUUGACUUUUUAAUCUUUGUGCGUGUUCGUAAGCACACGUGUCCUACUGCACAUACAGAAGUCCGGUGAUGAGGCCUCACUGUCAUGGCAUACCUCAGGCUAGCUGGCUCUCUGGAUCCCAGAGAGCUCCAUCUCCAUCUCCUGGAUUACAGCUGCGUGGGCUACCACAUCCAGCUCGGUGUGAGUUCUGGGGAUCAGAUCUCCUUUCGUGCGCAUCUGUGACUAGCAUGUUAACCACUGAGCCAGCUUCUGACUUAGGGACUUUUAAAACAGACUUUCUAGUUAGCUAAUCUGAGUAUGUUCCAGGUCGUUAGUCUUCAUUAGUGAAAACAUUUCAUUCAGCUGGAAUCCACUGGCUGUUGAAUUUCCUUGUUGGUUUUUAGAGUAGUGCAAGUCAAUGGCUGGCUUAUUCACUGUAAUCCUUUUAAAGUGGGAUGCGUACCAAUGGGGGAGAAUGAAACUGACAUGUCUCAGAAGCCUCUAGUCAGUUUCCUACUUGACUCUUUUUAGUUGUUUUCUAAUAAACUAGAGAAGCGGUGAGGUUUCGUUUUUCCUCUCCACUUUCCUUUUCAGCAAACAAAGUUUUUGUGGUGCUAUUGUUGUUUUCCAGUAAGUCAGACUACACAGAACAAGACCUCACUGGCUCAUGAUGUUGACAGAAUCUGCCAGAGCAGCAAUAAAGCAGAUAGGCGAUAGAUAAUGGCAUUUCCUAAAUGUGGAGAUUCUGUUAGAGCAAAACUUCAUGAGAAGAUAUUACUGUAUAAACUACUGUUUAAAAUACAGCAUGAUAUUAAAAAGAGAGUUUAGUUCUUUGUUCCUUGUAGCCCAACACACAUUUGAUACGUUUAAAUUAUGAUCAAAGCAAGCAUCUCUGGGUUAUGUUUUGUUCAUAUUUUGGAGAAACAGGAACGUCUGGUUUCUUUAAAAACACACAUGUACGAACACACAGAGCCAACAAAACCUGUCGUGUUUUAAUGCCAUUUUCUCUACUUCGAAUUCAAAUUUGAUUUUGUAUAAUGUUCCUGUGGCCAGGCAUUGAUUGCGUUCUAUAAUGAGAAAUCUCAAGCAUACUUGUAGUUUUCAAAUGGAUUCUUCAGUAAGUGACAGGGAAGGCCCAUUGAAAAUGAAUGCCAUUGAAAACUUAUUUUCAACUUAAUGUGAGCCUUCAAUGAUUUUAGUAGCGAUAGGUGGGGAAAGUGUAGUUGAAGGAAGACCUCACUGUGUAGAAGCCAGCAAAAGAAGGUUGGUUACAGAAAGCAGGUUAGGAGGCUAACAACUACCAUGCUGCUGUGACCUGUGAAAAGUGGUUUGCCGGCAGCAUUUUGAGCACACACAAAUGCAAGCUUCCUUAUUUACACUGAGUUCUCAUUGUCUCUUUUCUGUCUUGUUCUUUCUGCUAGCAGUCCUUAAGUGAGUUAUUUUCCUUUUGUUUCUUUGGUAGUUUGUUAAACCAGUUUAUUGAUUUACUUGAAUGUCAUAUCAUGUUCAAUUCUGUGUGACAUUUCAGACAUAAAUAGAACAUGCGUCACUUGUAGGUCUCUAUGUACCAGGCAUGGGUCUUGGUGCUAUGCCAAAGAUAAAUGUAAUCAUGGCAACUGUAAUGCAAGGUAAAUCUCAUUCCUGUUCUUAACCACCACAAAGGCAAAAUGUGGGAGGGAAGAGUACAUACCGUGUUCACUGUCUUUGACUGGCAAAAGGAAGAUUUAGGAUACAAACAAAAGCUCCACCUACACCAUGAUCCUCUUCACUGCUGGAGACUGAAACAGUGUUUGUUUCUUUCUUUCUCUAAAGCCAUAGCUGUGUUCUCUUUAGAAUAGCUUAAGUAUUAAAUUGCUUUCCUUUCCCACAUUGUUUCUUCUAAAUGUCGGUAUCACUCUGGUGAUGUCUGUAUUUUUAGACCAAAAUUUAAUACAUUCAUAGGAGCAUAUUUAAAGCUAAUUUACAAUGCCUUUGUGUCUGAAAAUCUCAUGCUUUUUCUUGCGUGUGUGUACAUGUGUAGCAUGUGGUUAUAGGAAGGUGACAGGUGUCAUGUCCUAUCACUCUCUGACUCAGUCCAUGUACUUGUUCUAAAGACUUAUUUAUGCGUUUGUGUGUAUCUGUGCACAUGUGUGUGCCCAUGGAGUCCAGAAGGGACACUGGAUCCCUCAACUGGAGUUACAAGUGUUUAUGAGCCUCCAGAUGUGGGUGCCAUCAGAGUAAAUAGGGAGAAACUGAUGAAUCUACAGAGGAAGGGUUACUAGCUCUCUCUUUAGACAUAAAGGAAGUUUGUAAAACUCGGGCAAGCCAGGUCUACGUCUCUUACAAGCUACUUUUUAGUGGGUUUAUUGUCCUGAACAAAUUUUCAUUUGAAUUACUGUUAGAAUUCAUCUGAUGAGGCCUGCUAACCUACUGCCUUCAAAUGAUGAUAUACAUUUCCUUUGAAUUUGGUCUUGAGUGUGUUGUGCUGGCUACUCCUAACGCAAAUGCUACAGUCUGGUGUAGGAACCCAAAUGAUACCGGCUCACCCGGCUCUAGUUUGCUAACUGUCAACGGAGACGGACCUGCAUUUCUUCUGACCUCUCUCCUCCUACAAAGAACACACAGGAAGUUACUUGUGGAGCGGUAAAUUCCUGGCCAGGACUCUGUCAAAAGUGACAGUCAACACUCCUGAACACAUGCACGCAUGCACCUGAACACAUGCAUGCACGCACCUAAGUUAUCCUGGCCAGUCCCGUCUCUCAUGAAAGUCCUGCUUCAGUCCUGUCAACACAGCUUACAGUGAGCAAAGAGCGCAUCUUUAACCCUGGACCAUCUCUGUAAGUCUUACUUUUCCCAGUCUAUACAUUAACAGUUUACGUUAAUACAGCAUACCCCUUCAGUAAGGGAGAUGCCAAUUAACCUAAGAUCACCGAAGUCCUCACUCAUUCAAAUCAGCAAGCUUUGAUUUAUCUCUACUCUAAGCACUUUGCAGUUACCAAUUCAGUUAUAAUCCUAUGAUUUCUAGUUUCAAAUUAUGCAAGAAUUUGUGAUAUUUAGAAAAUGAAUGUUUCAUAAAUACCUUCUAUCCUGGUGAAAAAGGCUCAUCUGGUUUUUACAUUGAUAUUUAUUAUUGCUGUAUGUAUGAGCACCUGCAGGUACCAGGGUGUAUACCAAUCACGGAAACCAAGCACGCAGUGGCUUGAAGACUUGCCAAGGCCAUGUUUAGUAAAUCUUAAAGCCAAGAUUCAAAUCCUGUCUAAUACCAAAAUCAGUGUUCUUAAUCACUGUUGAAAAAUAUUUCACACUGUAUAGAUGUGUUGGAACAUUUCCUUUCCUAAGACAUAAACAGUUCUUUCUAAAACAAGAGUGGACACCCUUUUGUAUUAUUGCGUUUUUUAUAUUGUUGCAUUUUGUUAGAUUAUUUUACGUGUUUGGUCUGCAUGUAUGUGCUGUGUCCACAGAGGACAGAAGUGGGUGUUGGAUCCCAGAACUGAAGUUAAAAUGGUUGUGAGCCUCCAUGUGGUGCUGGGAACAAUACUCGGAUCCUCUGGAAGAGCAGCCAGUGCUCUUCACUGCUGAGCCAUCUGCCCCAGCCCACAUUGUUCUUUCAAACAAUUUUUGUUUGACAUAACACACACACACACAUAUGCAGUUUAGUUAUAUAUUUUGAAAGAGCUUUUUUGUUUAUGAAGAUGAAAUUAUUUCUGAAAAAGAAAACCUUAUUACAGGUUUCAUUUGCCUAAAUUCUACGCAAGGUAAUAUAAAAUCUUUAUUUUUUUUUAUUACUUUAAGAAAACAGACCUUUUUGGGGGGGUUUUAAGUGAUAAAGAGAAAAAACCCACAAUCACUUGAUUUAUAGGAAGGAACAUAACGGUUCCCUAAAAGCAAGGCAUUUUUAUUUUGGGGGAGGGGAUUGUUUGAGGGUUUUGUUUGUUUGUUGUUUUGUUUGUUUGUGUUUUGGGGGGGUGUCUCUUGUUGAGACAGUAUCUUGCCCUGUAGCCCAGGCUGGCCUCAAACUCAUGGUGACCUUCUUUUGUUGGCCACCAUGCCAGCCUCUGAAAUACAAGGUCACAGGCAGGCACCACCAGCCCAGGGUGGUUUUGGGGAAAUACAGUCUUGUUUUGCAGCUGUGCUAACUGGUUUUACGUCAGCUUGACACAGUUAGAGUCAUCUGUGAGGAGGGAACCUCAGUGGAGAAAAUGCUUCCAUUAGAUGGGGCAAGCCUAUAGGGCAUUUUCUUAAUUAGUGAUGGGGGAGGGUCCAGCCCAUGGUGGGUGGUGCUAUUCCUGGGCUGGUGGUCCUGGGUUCUCUAAGAAAGCAGGCUGAGCAAGCCAGUAAGCAGUGUGCCUCCAUGGUCUCUAGAUCAGCUCCUGCCCUGUUUGAGUUCCUGUCCUGACUUCCUUAGAUGAUGAAUAGAGAUGUGGAAGUGUAAGCCAAAUAACCCCUUUCUUUCUUCCCCAAGUUGCUUCAGGAUAUGGUGAUUGAUUACAGCAUGGUCACCCUAAGACAGCAUCCUAGGUGUUUUCAAAUUAACCAAGCUCUUCCUUAGCCUCCCGAGUGCUAGGAUGAGAGGCAGGUGCUCUAUGCAUAACUAGGAUGCUGGCAUUCCACCCGACAGAGCCGCUCAUCUCUUAAAUAGGUUUUUCCUUUGAUAACCUUACUAAUUUUAUCUACUUGCAUUGCAUUAUGUUAUGUAACAUGAGAUGUUUCUUCCAUUUAGUGAUUUUUAAGAAACAUUUGAAAAUAAAAGAAACUAGAUAAAAUGAUUGUCACUUUGGUGGCAAACCCUAUGAAUGACUUCCUUAAUAUGAAUGUCUGUAUUCUCCAUUUCCUAUUUUCCUUACAUAAAACCAAGGAAUUAGAUAUAGCAACCUCAGAUUAUCAUAAUUUGGAGAAAUAUUUAUAUCUCAGCAGCUGAAACAGGUCAUAGGUACUACAGAUUUUUAAAAAUAUUAUUGUAUCAUAAAGAAUGUUAAAUGUCUCUGUGAAACAGAAUUGGUUUUAAAUGGAAAACUUAAAAUCUCAUUAUUAAAAUAUAAUCAAACCAGGCUGAUUGGACAAGUCGGAUGAAUUCUGUGCUGUGGUGUGGUUUUAAACAUUUUGAAGCAAUCGUAAGAAAGCUGCAAGAAGCCACUGAGGGGAAAAAGACUAACAGUUAAGGACUCAUGUGUCGCAGGAGAUUCACACCAGCACUCUUGUAGGCACAAAGCCUCGACCGUCACUAGGGAACCAUGUGAAAAGUUGGGACAUUUUAUUUGCUGAUGGCAUGGAUGUCUUGAGUUGAGUUUUUACCUAACAGUGAAUUGCUGAGUGUUCCAAGCCUUAACCCCUUAUAGGAGAAAAAGGUUUAAACCAACGUUUAUUUCAUUUUUCAUACUCUUUGGAAGUGAAAUAUAGCAACCGUCUAAAGGAUGUGUACAAGUGUGUGUGUGUUUGAGAACAAUGAACCACACUGAAGUCACAGAGUGAUUAAAACAGAUUUUGGUACCUGAAAUCAGAAUGUGGCUGGGAGCCACAGGGAUUGCUACUCUUUCCACACUCUGACCGACAGGGAGCUUUUUGGGGGGUGCAGGUGCUCACGCAUUGCCAGAGGUGAGCAGUCUCAAAGCAGAGGGAAGGGGACUAAAUAAAAACUACUAAGGGAAGAAGUUGAGUGCUUUCCAUAAAUAGUAACUGUGCGUUUCAUUUUAUUUAUGACCCCAUACGUUAGGAAAGGGACGCUGUUGAAGUAACAAUCAUUGAAAAAGCAACAACCAACAAACCAGUAUUUAAUUUGGUAUUUAAAACCAAUAAUUAAAACUCAAAUGGAAGCAGUGUCUAAAGUAACUAAGAUAAUUCAUAACAAAUAGCACAAACUCAAGCUCUACUUAUUGGAAAUAUGAUAAUUCAUCGCAAGUAAGCUACAAUGUACCUGUGAGGAUAGAGUAAGGGCACACAUUAGCGAAGUUCUACUAGAUUUCCAGAUUCCCCUAAAAACGUUAAAGGACUGUCGAACAAAUUUUCUGUGCAAACACCGAUCAGUUCUAAUUUCUUCUCAGUCUUUCGUACAUGACCUUAUUUGAAGCAGUGCAUGCAUUCACUAGCACAAUUCAUGUUAAUAAAAUAGUUUUGAAAAGUAUUUUCUUUCCCCGGUAUUUCACUAGUUUGAAAGAGUUUUUCCAGAGAUUAGUCUGAAUUUCUGUUGCAACCUAAGCCUUUAAUGAAGAUAUGCUUCUGAAAAUAAGGCAGUUUCUCUAUAAUCUGCUCAUGAAUAGAAAACAAAUCUUUGGUUUUUUGGUUAAAGUGGCAGAGAAGAUUUUGCAAAAAGAAAUACUAACUAACCAACACAAAGAGCUCUUAACAAGCAAUGGGAAACUCCAAACCCCAUCAAGGUAAAUAGAGUACCUAAGGCACCUCAGGUUCAGAUGAUACAAUCGUCGGCUUAGAGUUCAAGAAUUCUAUAUACAUGAUUCUUACCAUCUGGAGAGGGUGAGGCUGCAAAUGUGAUGGCUGACAUGCCUGCUGUGAGUCAGGAGAGAGUGAACAGGGUGAUGGCCGACAUGCCUGCUGUGAGUCAGGAGAGAGUGAAGAGUGAGGUGGUCAUCAUGCCUGCUGUGAGUCAGGAGAGUGAAGAGUGAGGUGGUCAUCAUGCCUGCUGUGAAUCAGGAGAGUGAAGAGUGAGGUGGUCAUCAUGCCUGCUGUGAGUCAGGAGAGAG